UACGUAGGGUGCAAGCGUUUAAUCGGAAUUACUGGGCGUAAAGCGUGCGCAGGCGGUUUUGUAAGUCUGUCGUGAAAGCCCCGGGCUCAACCUGGGAAUUGCGAUGGAGACUGCAAGGCUUGAAUCUGGCAGAGGGGGGUAGAAUUCCACGUGUAGCAGUGAAAUGCGUAGAGAUGUGGAGGAACACCGAUGGCGAAGGCAGCCCCCCUGGGUCAAGAUUGACGCUCAUGUACGAAAGCGUGGGGAGCAAACAGG
rnacentral:rRNA from 1 species